rnacentral:snoRNA from 1 species
CCCCUCUCAGGAUCGCACCUGGAGAGUUUCCAGUACUUUACCAAUCUUGGCUAUGGGAGGGAGAAUCAAGUAGAGGCAUACCAGUUCCAUUCCUAGCUUGGGCAGUGGCUAGCAAGUGGAAGGCAAUCUGCUACAAGU